ACUUUGGUUUGAAGUGCCUCGGCUCUAAUUUUCAGCAUCAUUUACGUAAGGUUUUUUUGUUAAUUAAUAUAGUUUAGCUAGCGUUAUUUGCGCUUAAUCCUGUUAAGUGAACCAAUAAGCAGCUGUAUCAAGUGGAGAAACGAUGGCACGUACACCUAUUCGUAAACCGACAAAAAGACGGUCGUGGAACAUUGAGAAUCUGUCCCGAGCCAUGAAAGCCGUACACCUCGGUUUGUCUAAAACUCAAGCAGCAAUCCAAUACGGCAUUCCCAAACGUAUUUUGAGACGGUAUUUAGAUUCAACGGUACAUCCAGAGAAUGUAAAGUUAGCUCGACUGGGAAGUUUUGCCACAGUAUUCUCACCCCAGCAGAAGGAGCAGCUGGCCGCGUACGCGAUCGAAAUGUGUCAAUGCUUCUACGGAUUAACGACUCGGAACAUGCGAAGCUUACCCGAAAAAAAUAACAUCAAAAAUACAUCAAAAAUUGCUGUAAUUGUACAUAGUUUUACCAUAAUUUAACCAUGUUUUUUAUUGUAAAUACAUCAUUUUUACAUUAUAUAUCAUUGUUCAGAAUAAUAAAAAACAUUGUUUUUGCCAUUUUUACCAUGAAAAAGGGGGGUGGUUAUGUAUCUUAACAGCAUUUUUUCAGGCACUUUUCCCAUACAUUUAGAAGUCACUGACGAUGUUUUUCAUGGUAAAAUUAUUGUUGGUGGUAGGUUCAACAACAAAAAACAUUGUUAAAACAUGGUAAUAACCACAAAUGUUCGCAAGCUUACAGUAAAAGUACCAUGUUUUUUAUGGUUACAAUAAAAAGUAUUGUCCAUUAACUGUUUCGACCACAAAAUACAUCGUAAAUUUUUUUUCGGGUAGCGUAUCAGAUGGCUGAAAAAAAUGGGAUUCCGCAUCUAUUUGACAAGGAACUCAAGCUAGCUGGGCCAGAUUGGCUAAAAGGUUUUCUUCAGCGUCAUCCAAACAUUUCCCUUCGAACACCGGAAAACACUUCUAUCGCACGGGCAAGAGGCUUCAAUCGGAAAAGUGUUGCGCAGUUUUUCGAUCUGCUGGAACGGGUCUUUGAUGAGCAUCCUUACCCACCCAGUAGGGUUAUCAACGUUGACGAAACGAGUGUCGGCACUGUCCGGGGGCGAAAGACGAAAGUACUGGCAAACAAAGGGCAACAUCAAGUUGGCAGACUAGUUUCGGCAGAAAGAGGU